CGUAGGUGGCAAGCGUUGUCCGGAAUUAUUGGCGUAAGCGCGCGCAGGCGGUCAGGUAAGUCUGGUGUCAAGCCCGGGCUCAACCCGGUACGCAUUGGAACUGCCUGACUUGAGUGCAGAAGAGGAAGCGGAAUUCCACGUGUAGCGGUGAAAUGCGUAGAGAUGUGGAGGAACACCAGUGGCGAAGGCGGCUUUCUGGUCUGUAACUGACGCUGAGGCGCGAAAGCGUGGGAGCAAACAGGAUU
rnacentral:rRNA from 1 species